UUGAAAAAAUGAAAUAGAUGGAUAAAUCAUGUAUAAUAAAUACUGGAAUAUUCCAUAAAAAAAUAAGAGUUGUUCAUUUUGAUUUCAUGGUGACUUUAAAGCAUAGCUGAACAUAUAGGUGCUUCUCAGUCUUAAAGUUAACAUGUGCUCUUGCUCCUCAAGCCUUGUCUUAAAUAAUUUUCCAUUUUUAAGUCUAGAUACUCAAUCCUUCAGCACACAUACUGUAUUCUACUGUACAACAGGCUCCAGCACACCUGAGUCUAUUUCAAUACCUCACCAACAUGAAUGUUACUCUUUGUCUGCCUCUGUAUGACUUCCUUCUGAGUGACCAGAAACACUUUAUCAUCACAUUAUUCUCUCUUUUAAAUUGUGUGCUUCACAUUUCACUGACCACACCCACAGUAUUAGUACACAACAGAACUUCAGUCGGUGCGUUCAUUUACUCCUGAUUAAUAUACUGGAUAUGACCACAGUUUCAUUCACAUUAAGGCAAUAUUCAGGUACAGUUUUUUAAUAAAUCCAACUGUAUUAUAAAUACAAUCUACCUCUGGACUGCCAACAUGGAGAGACAUAUGCUGCUCAUGAUUCUCAUUGUAGUUACAGGUGGAUUUGCUGACAGAAUUGGACCAGGAGAAGGAAAUACUAAUAUAAUGAAGGGAGAAGGAGAGUCUGUGACACUGAGAUGUUCAUAUGAUACAAGCAGCAAUAAUGUUUGGCUUUACUGGUUCAGACAGUAUCCUAAAGGAGAACCUCAGUAUUUACUAUGGAAAGGUGCUCGAUCAGAGAGUGGUUAUGAGAAUAUACCAGACCGUCGGUUUCAGUCAACAACAUCCCAAUCAUCCACUGAACUCAUUAUUGAUAAAGCAGCUCUGUCAGAUUCAGCUCUCUAUUAUUGUGCUCUAAGAGUUUUAGCCCAGUGAUACAAAAUGCCUGAGAAGCUUUACAAAAACUCAAAUACACAAUGUGCUUUAAACAGUCUUUAAUCUAACAGCAUCA